UAACAUUUGCCCAAAAUGGCCGCGCCCGUCGAUGAGAGCGUGCUGAAUGCGCUGCGGGGCGUGACCAGCGCCCAGACGCGUCUGCCCAAGCCGCUGCUUAUCAAGAUCUAUGUGGCCAGCCUCAAGCAGGAGUUCAAUCAGGAGCGGCGCAUGCUGCUCGAGCUGGUCGGACCCGAGUUGCAGGGGCUCUAUGAUGAUCGUCAGAUCGAGCUGGAGAUCGUGGACAUGCACUUUGGCACGGGUGCUUUGGAUGUGACGCUGCUCGAACGCGAUCCCUACUUGCUGCAGGAUCUGCUGCACGAGAUUGACACGUGCCACGCCCACUCGAAAAGCGUCUUCUUUUUAGCGCUAAUUGGCGACGGCAUUGGCCGCCCACCGCUGCCCACGCACAUCGACGAGGACAUCUAUGGGGCACUCUCUCUGCCGGCGCAGGAUAUGGAGCUGCUUGGGCGCUGGUAUGCCAAGGCAGGCGCCGAAACGCAGUUGGUGCUCAAACAGGACUAUCGCUCGCUGGCCGCGGAUGAGUGGCUGGUGGAAUCGCGUCGGAUGCAACAGCUGCUGGAGAAAUCGCUGCAACAUCUGGUGACCGCGACAAAUGGGGAUUUGCUGCGCCGCGUGCAGCUGCUGCGACGCACCCAAAUCGAGCAGGAAGUGCAGCGGGCCAUGGCACACUCCAGCGAGAAGAUACUGGCCGUGUUCCGGGAGCGUGCUGCACAGUGUAGCGGCCGCGAUGUGGAGGCCGGCGAACGUUUGCGCAAAAUCAAAGAUGAGCUGACCAUGAACCUAUCAACGGAUAAUCACACGACGCUAGUUGUGCCUGGCAGCGCCAGCAGCGAGGCCAUCGAUCCGGACAACGAGGACCACGAGGCGUAUUUAAGUAAAUUCAAGAACAAAGUCACCGACAAGCUGCGCCUGCUAAUCGAGGCGCACAUUACAAAUGAUCCCGAUGUUAUCAAGGGGAGGAAAAAGACUGUGCAGGAAAUCUUUCACGAGCAUGCCACACAUCUGCGGAUGCUGCGCGAGCACACGGAGCGCGUGGUGCUGCUGGAGACGCGAGUGCCGCAACAGCUGCAGCUGAAUCUGAUGGCGAACUACAAGAACGGCAGCCGGCAUGCUCCGUACUUUAUAUGCGGCACGCAUGGCAGCGGCAAGAGUGCGCUGAUUAGCACACUUUACGGCCAGGUGGGCGGCUGGUUUGGCACGACGCGUGUGCAUCGGGUGAUACGCUUUGCGAAGGCCACGCCCCGUUCGGCAUACAAUCUGGAGCUGUUGCGCGUUAUCUGCCAGCAGAUCUCAAUUAUAUUCAACAUACCCGAGGGCUAUUUGCCGAAGGAUGCGUCCUUCGAUCCGCUGUACAUUAGCAACUGGUUUCAGAAUCUGUUGCGUCGCAUCGAGGACAUGAACAACGAUGUUCUCUUUCUGUUUAUCGACGAUCUGCAUCUGCUGAAUCCGCUGGACUGCGACAUUGUCGCCGCACUCUCCUGGCUGCCCACGUCGCUGCCCUGGAACGUCCAGAUAAUAUGCAGCUCGACCACGCCCGUCGAACAGCUCAAGUUUACGCCCAUGCAGCGGGACAGAUUCAAGUCGGCGGAGUACCAGUUCGAUCUGGGCCUGGAGGCGAAUGCGACUCAGCUGCAGCGACCGGAGCAGUGUGCCGCAGAUGUCAGCUUUGUGGCCUAUGUGGAGCAACAGUUCGACGAGCUGGAGCAGCACUAUGGCAGGCAAGCGGUGGCCAGUCUGGCGGCCUACAUCACGUGCUCCGAGUACGGGCUGACCGAGACGGAGCUGCUCGAGCUGCUGAUGCCCACCGAUGAUCCCGAGUCGCUAAUAGACACGCACAACGGACACUUUAGCUUCGCCAGCUUCAAGAAGAUACACAAGCAAAUGGAUAAGCGCCUGCUGCUGCACGACAAGAUUAUGUCCGGCAAGGUGCUCAUUCAGUGGCGCCACAAUUACUGCGCCACGGUGGCCAAGCGACGGUAUAUGGAUGUGGAGCGAACACGUUGCCUGCACAUGGAGCUGGCCAAUUUGUUUUUCCCCCAGGACGAGGACGAGAGCACGCUGGAAAAUGAUACAACCCGCAGCGACAGCAAGUCGGUUGUCAGUCUCAAGGAGCGUGAGCCGCACAAGGAUAAGGAGAAGGAACGUGAAAAGGAUAACGUAUCGGCUGGCCGUAAAUCAUCCUCAACGCAUCACAACGACGACACAUCCACCUUUUACAAUCCCAUUGCCGCCGAUGUCUCCUACAGCAUGCGGCACGUCGAGGAGAGCUGGCAUCAUCUGAUGCGCUCCGAUGACACGACUCGCUUCAAGCAAAUCGCAGUCUGUAAUUUUGAUUUCCUGCUCGCGGCGGUGCAAACAGUAUCCAUUAGCUAUCUGCGCUGCCUAAUCGAGCACGUGCGCUGCUAUGUGCUGGACCGGGACAUUGAGCUCAUCUACUACACCAUACGAAAGUCGAGCGAUGUACUCACCCGGGAUCCCAUGCAGCUGGGCUCCCAGCUGGUCUCGUGGCUGCGUCCGAUUGGCGAGCACGACGACGACGACAACUCGCUGCUGAGCAUGACGGUCCGAUCGGCGACCGCCUGGUGCGAUGGCUAUGCGGUGCCGCUGCUGGUCCCGCUGACCGGCUGGCUGCCGGCGCCGUUGCCCUCCCAGAUACGCAACAUGACCGUCUCCGGCACCGGAGUAAUACGAGCCGUUUGCCUAGCGCCGUCACGGCAACAUCUCAUAUUGGCCACCAACUCGGGCGAUGUGCAGCUGUGGCACAUCAUGAGCAACUCGCUGGAGCACACAUACAAGGGACACACUGCGGCAGUCACGUGCCUGCUGGUGGCGCCGCAGCAGUCGCAGCUGCUGCUGACCGGCUCCGAGGAUACGACUGUUUUGGUCUGGCACGUGUCGCUGCGCGAGCGUCGAGUGCACAUUAAAGCCCACACAGCGGCAGUGACGGGCGUGGCAGCUGGUGUCAACAACACGCUGAUCAUCAGCAGCAGCGAGGACGCAACAAUCGGCAUCACAGACCUGGCCAGCGGCAAAUUGAUACAUCGCAUUAGCUUUCAUCGUGGCCCGGUUAGCGGCAUCUUGGUCGCCGGCGCCUGCGAUGUCCUCAUCUCGGCCAGCCAUGACAAGAACAUAUGCGUCUGGGAUCUGGAGAACUACGCGCUCUUGAAUACCAUGCAAAUGACGAGUCCGGUGCUGCGCAUUGAUAUCUCCUGGAAUUCGGUAUUCCUGCUGGCCCUCUGCGAGGACAAUGCGCUCUACGUGCGCACCCUGGCCACCGGCAAGGAGCUGCACACGCUCAAGGGCCACAAGUCGCGGAUACGCACCAUAUGCAUUGCGAAGGACAGCCAGCGGUGUGUGGUCGGCUGCGAGGAUACGCGGGCGCUCAUCUAUGACAUGCACUCCGGCAAAUUGGUGCGCUCGAUGCCGCCGAAUCCGGGUCCAGUUACGGCUGUUUAUGCCAUGGAGAAUGAUGAUUUUCUGAUCACCGUCGGCGGCAACAAAAUCACCUUCUAUUCGUUUCGCAACGAGGAGCUCUAUGUGAAUCCGUACUCGCGGCAUCCGCGCCGCAAGCGCAGCCUGAAGCGGCACACGCAGGCGCAGCGUUCGCCCUCGACCACGUUGCCGCCGAUCACGUGCUUCGACUUGUCGCGCGACUCGCAGCAGCUGGCGAUUGCCUCCGGCCGGAACGUGCACAUGAUGCGCAUCAAUACGCCGGAAUAUCAGAGCACACUGGAGGGACACACCUGUGUCGUCAAUUGUCUGAAAUUUGCGCCGAACGGCGAGUUCUUGGCCACGGGCGGCGAGGAUCGUCUGGUGCAGAUCUGGACUCUGGCGCUGGGCGAAAUCAAUCAUACAUUCAAGGGACAUGCGGCGCCGGUUAUGCAGCUGUUGGUGCUCAUGGACUCGCUGCGCGUCAUCUCCACGGAUCGCGAGUCCAUGAUGCUCGUGUGGAUGGCCGAUUCGGGCAAUCUGCUCCAGACCAUACAGGGUCCCUACAAGAAACUGGCCGCCACCAACAAUAUGCGCUUCGCCGUCUCCACGAACGGCGACAAUACCCUAAAGAUCUGGUCCCUCACGCAGGAGGAUGAAAAGUAUUCCGUCUCGCACUCGGACGAGAUAACCUGCUUCGAGAUUAGCGCGGACAGCAUACACAUUAUAACCGGCUCCAGGGACAUGUCGCUGAAGGUCUGGCAAUCGAUGGGCGGCAAGCUGAGCCAGGUGCUUGUCGGCCAUAGCGAUGCGGUGACCUGUGUGUCCGUCUCCGUGACCAAUAAAACACAAGUCAUCUCCGGCUCGAAGGAUAUGAAUCUGAUUAUAUGGGAUCUGCUCACCGGCGAGGAGGUGCACACAUUGGCCGGCCAUUUGGGCGCUGUCAUUGGCGUCAAGGUCUCCGCUGAUGGCUCCACGGCCGUCUCGGGCAGCGAUGACAAGACGUUAAUUGUGUGGGAAACGAAGCGUGGCCUGGCGCUCACCUCCCUGCAGAUGCACGUGCCCUUCACGCACUUCGACAUCAGCCUGGAGGUGUCCCGUGUGCUCGUCCAGCUGGUGGAUAGCUACAAUUUGCCCGUCAUCUGUUUGCAUAAUACCCCGGCGCAGUAUGUCAAGCUGCCGACCUAUUCCGGUCCCAGCAAGGACGUCGAAGAUUUGCGUCCACAGGGCCCCAAGCGGCAGAUGAAGCGGCUGCUCAAGAAGGAGGUCUCCCUGGACACAUACACCUGGCAGAAGAAAUACGGCCAUUUGACCUCCUCCGUGAUGAUGGCCCAGGUGGAUGAGCGCUUGAAGCGACGCUUCAGCGUCUCGGCCAGCAUGGAGGAGAUCUCGAAGAUAGCUGAAACCAAAACGGGCGCCUCCCAGGCCAACCUGGGACCGGAGCAGGCGGCGCUCGCCCAAUCCCAGCAUUUCGAUCAGCUGGAGGCGCUGUGGAACAAACGUUCGCCGCCCCGACGACGUCACAAUGCGGGUCUGUCGCGGCAGACGUCGCUGGUGGAGGACCGGUUAGAGUCCUCCGACGAUGAUGAGUAUCAGGAUGAGCGCGCAGACGAUUUCGACGAGUUCUUUUAGGCUCAAACAAAAACUAAUCAAAUAGAGGGUUACCAAUUGGUUUAGUCACGUUCAAAAUCCGCAUUACCUUUCAAAGAUACAAGCAUACCUCACUGCAAGUGCUGAAAUAUUUUUGAGAGCUCUACAUAACUAUAUUAAAUACACUACAUAAAUAAUUAAAGGCUGCAUAAGGCAAAUAAUCAAAUAACCAGCUACACAUCUAAUAAGAAACAAAAAACAAGCAACCAAAUGAAAUUAUAUCUUAGAUUGUACUUAGUUGUUGGCCACGCCCACCCGCUGCAAACGGAGCUGCGAAUGAGCUAAAAUCAUUUCGCUACAGGAGGAGGAGGAUACCACAAAGGAUAAGCUGUAAGGCUGUAAGGCGCCCUGGCUUAAAUAUAAAGGUUAAUUACACUAGCUAAUAAGUAAAUGUUUUAAUCGGUAAGCAAUAAUUGAGCAACUACUUAGCUGCAACUUAGACUCUCUCCCUCCCAAGUGAUCUGUUAUAUAUUUUCUAAAGCAUUAAUUGUUUACAUUUCUUUUUUUGGAAAUUAAGCCCAGGUUUGUUGACUCGAGUAAAACUCAAAAUUCUUUUUAUUUGCUUCGUUUUUUCCCCUCUACAAAAUUGUAGUCUGUAGUUUCUAAAAAGCAAAAACCACCGUCUCAGACUUUAUAUAGAACCUAGCAUAUAUACAUGAUAAGUGAGCCAUUUUGAAAUUUUAAUGUUGUAGAGUGUUUUGUGUACUCGUCAAAAAUAACUCGAGCUAUAUGUUGUUGUUCAUAUAUAUUGAUAUAUAUAUAUAUAUAUAUAGUUUGUAGAGAUAUUAUCGAGGAAGAACCACAAAACUUGAAGGGGUUAAAAGCGUAACUAUGCUUAAAAUAAACACAAAAAGAUACAAAAUGCAGAAAUAAAAACUGUAAUUGUCACAAUAUUAAUAUGCCACAAAACCAUAAAUUUAUGGACAACAUUUAAUCAAACAAAAAAAACAUAAAGAAAACUUAAACAUUUGCAGCACAUUUGAUUUCAGAUUUGUAUAUAAGUAUUAAUGUAUGUGUGCAAUAUGGAGAAAAGCAAAAUACGAAUUGUUUAACACAUAUCCAUAGCGAAGCGUUUAAAUAUUUGUAUAACUGUGCAUUAGUUUAAGCAUUAAACUCUGUUCUAAGCGCACUUAUUUUCUAUCAGUUCCGCACGCACCCUAGUUAACUCUUCAAUAACUCUCUGACAAUCAGAAGUUCUUGCCUAGAACAAAAAAAAAAACAAACAAACAAAGUAUAAAGGAAAAACAAAACACAAAGCGCGAAAUGUUUUAACACAAAGCGAUAUUU